GGAGGGAUGCCGGAGUGGUCGAUCGGGGCGGUCUCGAAAACCGUUGUGCCUUCGGGCACCCAGGGUUCGAAUCCCUGUCCCUCCGC
rnacentral:tRNA from 1 species